UACGAAGGGGGCUAGCGUUGUUCGGAAUUACUGGGCGUAAAGCGCACGUAGGCGGAUAUUUAAGUCAGGGGUGAAAUCCCAGAGCUCAACUCUGGAACUGCCUUUGAUACUGGGUAUCUUGAGUAUGGAAGAGGUGAGUGGAAUUCCGAGUGUAGAGGUGAAAUUCGUAGAUAUUCGGAGGAACACCAGUGGCGAAGGGCGGCUCACUGGUCCAUUACUGACGCUGAGGUGCGAAAGCGUGGGGAGCAAACAGG
rnacentral:rRNA from 1 species